rnacentral:rRNA from 1 species
AGAACGAACGCUGGCGGCAGGCUUAACACAUGCAAGUCGAACGCCCCGCAAGGGGAGUGGCAGACGGGUGAGUAACGCGUGGGAAUCUACCUGGUUCUACGGAAUAACUGAGGGAAACUUCAGCUAAUACCGUAUACGCCCUAAGGGGGAAAGAUUUAUCGGUGCCAGAUGAGCCCGCGUAAGAUUAGCUAGUUGGUGGGGUAAUGGCCUACCAAGGCGACGAUCUUUAGCUGGUCUGAGAGGAUGAUCAGCCACACUGGGACUGAGACACGGCCCAGACUCCUACGGGAGGCAGCAGUGGGGAAUAUUGGACAAUGGGCGAAAGCCUGAUCCAGCCAUGCCGCGUGAGUGAUGAAGGCCUUAGGGUUGUAAAGCUCUUUCAGUGGGGAAGAUAAUGACGGUACCCACAGAAGAAGCCCCGGCUAACUUCGUGCCAGCAGCCGC